UGCGCAGAAAGGUGGCCUAUGCUUGCAAGCCACCGCUCCUGGAGGGGUCCGCGUCUGAUUAGCUAGUUGGCGGGGUAACGGCCCACCAAGGCGACGAUCAGUAGCCGGCCUGAGAGGGUGAUCGGCCACACUGGAACUGAGACACGGUCCAGACUCCUACGGGAGGCAGCAGGUGGGGAAUAUUGGACAAGUGGGGGAAACCCUGAUCCAGCAACGCCGCGUGGAGGAUGAAGGUCUUCGGAUUGUAAACUCCUGUUAGGGGGACGAAGGGAUGUCGGCGAACAGCCGGCAAACUUGACGGUACCCCCAGAGGAAGCCCCGGCUAACUCUGUG
rnacentral:rRNA from 1 species